CUCGUUUUCAAAGUGUUUUCGUUGUCGGUCAGAACAUGGUGCAUUUAUUUUACGAUAUUAGGAGCAAUCUGAAAUUUCCAUUUUUCAUCCCUGUGUCUUUCACACAAUAGACGACAAUAACCAAUGGGAAAGGGCGAAGAAAAGCCGAACUCGACUCCCGAACCACACUCGUACUCGAAACGACACUCGCAAUGAGGCUGAAUCAGCUGUGUUUCGUUAUUUUUCUCACAACUUACGGAAAAGCUAAAUUUCUUCGCGGGGCCACUGUGAUCAAUUACGGCUAAAUCAAGCAAUUUAAAUUAAUAAACUAGAAAACUACGUUGGACACCAAAAAGUUAUCGAAAUAUUUCGUAAUUACAGAUUACUG